rnacentral:rRNA from 1 species
AUUGAACGCUGGCGGCAUGCUUUACACAUGCAAGUCGAACGGUAACAGGCCGCAAGGUGCUGACGAGUGGCGAACGGGUGAGUAAUGCAUCGGAACGUGCCCAGUCGUGGGGGAUAACUGCUCGAAAGAGCAGCUAAUACCGCAUACGAUCUAUGGAUGAAAGCGGGGGACCGUAAGGCCUCGCGCGAUUGGAGCAGCCGAUGUCAGAUUAGGUAGUUGGUGGGGUAAAGGCUCACCAAGCCAACGAUCUGUAGCUGGUCUGAGAGGAUGACCAGCCACACUGGGACUGAGACACGGCCCAGACUCCUACGGGAGGCAGCAGUGGGGAAUUUUGGACAAUGGGGGCAACCCUGAUCCAGCAAUGCCGCGUGCAGGAAGAAGGCCUUCGGGUUGUAAACUGCUUUUGUACGGAACGAAACGGUCUGGGUUAAUACCCUGGGCUAAUGACGGUACCGUAAGAAUAAGCACCGGCUAACUACGUGCCAGCAGCCGCCGUAAGAC